AUUCACUUACCUUCCCAUUUCCUGUUCAUGUUCAUUUGUCGUUGAUCCCUGCAAUUUUAUCUGGUUUUAAGCACUAAGCACGACUGCUUCUAUCAUCUUAUGCAGAGCCUGAAAUUUACAAGGAAGUGAAACAGAAGCUGGAUGAUGGUUCAGUCAAAUUUGAGGUGACACUGAUUUAAAUUAUAAUGGUUUAUUUCCUGGUAUUUUAGAGCCAAUCAUAGUGAGCUACUUGCCCUGCUGUUGUCUGUUGCUGAGAAUGAGCGUUUCUUAGUAGGCUAUUUUCCCUUCAAAUCCAAGUGCUGAUAAAUCCCACAGUAGAGUGACAAAUUCUUUCAAAAGCAACAAUAUUCAAGCCUAGUACUGCCCAAUUUGUGUUAUUUCAACAACAAUGCUAUAUGGUAUUUAUUAUCUUCCACGCAAUUUAUUCUUUGUUUUUGCCUAAGCAGGUUCUAUGUGACAAGGAUCGAACACCCAAAAAGGUAUGGCAUGCUCACCCUGGAGUUUAACAAUUCCUCAGCAUAAUACAAUGACAACUGAUAAUUGCUUUUUGCAAAUACAACAGGCACAAGUAAUGGGACAUUUGGAACGGAGAGUUUUGGAAGUGAAUCGAAAGAGGAUAAAAGUAGUAAAGCCUGGAUCCAAGACAUCAUUUCCAUCUACCGAAGUACGAGGAACAUAUGCUCCACCCUUCCAUGUGAGUUCUUCCCGCGAAAUCAGCAGAUAGAAAUUGCUGUUAUCCUGUUACUACAUCUAUUACAUGUAGAUAUUUGCUCGACUAUUAGAUGCAGAUACGAUGGUAACAAUGAAUCGAACCUUUCAGGUUGAGCUGUAUCGCAACGAUCAGCACCGCUUCAAGAUUGUCGUCGACAGUGACAACGAAGUCGACUUGAUGGUGCAGACGCGGCACAUGCGAGACGUCGUCAUCCUCACGAUCAGAGGCCUUGCCCAGAAGUUCAAC
rnacentral:lncRNA from 1 species